UCCAAGGAGCUUGCUCCGAAAGAUUUAGUGGCGAACGGGUGAGUAUCACGUGAGCAACCUGCCCCGAAGACUGGGAUAACACCGGGAAACCGGUGCUAAUACCGGAUGUCUUUCAACGGUCGCAUGAUCGAUGAAAGAAAUGUUUUUUCGCUUUGGGAGGGGCUCGCGGUCCAUCAGCUUGUUGGCGGGGUAACGGCCCACCAAGGCUACGACGGAUAGCUGGUCUGAGAGGACGAUCAGCCACACUGGAACUGAGACACGGUCCAGACUCCUACGGGAGGCAGCAGUGGGGAAUCUUGCGCAAUGGACGAAAGUCUGACGCAGCAACGCCGCGUGAGGGACGAAGGCUUUCUGAG
rnacentral:rRNA from 1 species